GCCCCAGUGGCACAGUGGUUAAGUGCUCACUCAGCUGCUAAGUGAAAGGUUGGUGGUUUGAACCUACCCAGCGGCU
rnacentral:tRNA from 1 species